rnacentral:rRNA from 1 species
AACGAACGCUGGCGGCAGGCUUAACACAUGCAAGUCGAACGCCCCGCAAGGGGAGUGGCAGACGGGUGAGUAACGCGUGGGAAUCUACCCAGUUCUACGGAACAACAGUUGGAAACGACUGCUAAUACCGUAUACGCCCUAAGGGGGAAAGAUUUAUCGGAAUUGGAUGAGCCCGCGUUGGAUUAGCUAGUUGGUGGGGUAAUGGCCUACCAAGGCGACGAUCCAUAGCUGGUCUGAGAGGAUGAUCAGCACACACUGGGACUGAGACACGGCCCAGACUCCUACGGGAGGCAGCAGUGGGGAAUAUUGGACAAUGGGCGCAAGCCUGAUCCAGCCAUGCCGCGUGAGUGAUGAAGGCCUUAGGGUUGUAAAGCUCUUUCAGUAGGGAAGAUAAUGACGGUACCUACAGAAGAAGCCCCGGCUAACUUCGUGCCAGCCGCCGCCGUAACAC